UACGUAGGGGGCAAGCGUUGUCCGGAAUCAUUGGGCGUAAAGCGCGUGUAGGCGGCUCGAUAAGUCUGCUGUGAAAGUCCAGGGCUCAACCCUGGGAUGCCGGUGGAUACUGUCGAGCUCGAGUCCGGAAGAGGCGAGUGGAAUUCCUGGUGUAGCGGUGAAAUGCGCAGAUAUCAGGAGGAACACCUAUGGCGAAGGCAGCACUCUGGGACGGUACUGACGCUGAGACGCGAAAGCGUGGGGAGCGAACAGG
rnacentral:rRNA from 1 species